CGACGUAAAGAACUUGCCUCACAGCUAGGGACAACAUUUAGAAAUGAAUGCUAAUACCUGAUAUUAUGAUUUUAAGGCAUCUUAGAAUUAUGAAAGCUAUAAGCACUGUGAGAGAGCUUUGCGUCCCAUUAGCUAGUUGGAGAGGUAACAGCUCACCAAGGCGAUGAUGGGUAGCCGGCCUGAGAGGGUGAACGGCCACAAGGGGACUGAGACGCGGCCCUU
rnacentral:rRNA from 1 species